ACGAAUAGCUGAGUGGUUUGAGCACUCCCCUGCUAAAUUCAGGGUUGUGGGUUCAAACCUUGACAGGGUCACUUAGGGAUCUAGGGCAAAAAUCAGUGUUU